UGAAUAGGUUUUCUCUACCUCUUCUGAUUAGCUUGGGUAACCAUGAUAUGCUGCAAGAUGUCACUCAUGGUUUGUGGAAGCCUUAUACGUGUGUAAUCACUAAAGGGAGAAUUGAAAGUAAGUUUCAAUUCACAAUUGAUUUGAAAUGGUUUUAAUCGCCCACUGCCUCGCUAAAAGGAACCUAAUGGAUCGCACACCAUAAGAGGUGGAGAUUGGAGAUUAAACGGAGAUGAAUAAGAAUGAUUAAAUGGUUUAAUCAUUUAUUUAUGGCAAGGAUUAAUUAAUAUGUUAAUUAAUCAAA
rnacentral:lncRNA from 1 species